rnacentral:lncRNA from 1 species
GUUUUUUCUCCUUCAUGAAUCAUUUUUGCAGAGAGAAAAACAACCAGACCGUCGGCUGAAUUCGUCGCCUCCCGUCUUCAGAGCGAUUUUACCGCAGAGGAAAAACUAAAGAUAAUUUUCCAGCGCGCUGAAUCCUCCUAGCAGGUGUAAUUCACACACUGGAGCACUUUAAUCGUCAUGUCAUUAAGCUUUUUCCUUGAUUAGUCUCUGAAAUCAAUAUGGCCGCCUGCUAGGUCAGUGCAUGCCUGAUUAGCACUAAUUACUUGAAUGCAUAAGUGAGUGUUUUCUUCCUUUUAGACAGAAAGUUGGGAGCUGAGGAGAUGCAGACAGACCCGGGAUCGUUUCAUGUGAGGAUGUGUCAAUAUUCAUCUGGUGAGGGGAAAACAAACACGGGUGCUGCUGCUGCUGCUGCUGUGGUGGUUUUCAUGUUUGACUCAAAGCCUGGAGGUCAGGGACAGAAUCAGCACAAAAACUUACUGAACAUCCUCAGGUCGGCAUGUUUCUUAUACUGUUACAUGCAAAAUAUUGAUAUUUUAGGAUAGACUGUAUAUAGAAUGGACAACGUCUGCCACCUCGCUGGGUGAAACCACCCCGAGAGCAGGCCGGGCUGCAGUAUAGGUCAUAAAUCCAACCUCCUCCAGCAAUCCCUAUAGACGCUGUUUUGAGCUGAGUGUCAUCACAGCGACUCUCCCGCCGAAUGCACACAACGCUACUGCGCAAUGUUGGUUUCAGGAAAUAUAGAAAAAUUGCAGAAUUACAGAGAGCUUUUCGGCUCCAAAGGAAGACUACAAGUUGUCCAUAGAAUAUACUGUCUAUGCAUUUUAGACGUGCUUAUACUAGGGUGACCAUACGUCCUCUUUUACACGGACAUGUCCUCUUUUUUGGGGGCUGUCCGGCUUUGUCCAGGAGAGUUUAUAAAAUCCUUCAAAUGUCUGCGGUUUUGUAUGAAAGUUUUGAGUUUUUGCCCCAUGAACUAACUGAGUUAGAAGUGUGUAAAAAACACUUGGUCCAACCCGAAAAACUCUCAAAAUUAACUACGUGCGACUCUGUGACUCCACCCCCACUACAUCGUCUUCCUCUUUUUGGGGGAUUCAGAAUAUGGUCACCCUAUAUACUGAGGAUGUAGUCCUUCUAACUGUUGACUCCCUUUCCUUCACGUCUCCCCUGCUCUCUGCUCCUCACAUUUCCUGCUUCUCCUCACCUCAGAAACAUAGAAAUUCUACAUAGAUUCUCAGCUGCAGAUGUAAAGUCUAGACUUGUUGCUCGUUUCCUUCGUUUGUGACUGAAACUCUGGAGCAGUCACAGCUUAGAGGUCAGGUCGAUGCAGCCAAGUUCAUGCAGUCAUGUGACCUGAUUGGUGAUUAAUUAUCCUCUCAGGUGUCAAUCAUGAACUCGGUUUUGGGGUAUGAGCUCUUUUACUGACUCCCAAUUCCUCCAAAAUGGCGCCUCCCUGCAUUGCUCCUCAAAAUGGCGACUGCCGUGCCCCGUCCUCCGAAGUAAUCAGCUGGCACAUGCCAGCGACACCCACACCCCGAGCCCCCCAACGAACCCUGGACCCUCCUAUUCUGAUUAUAUGAGACCCCCACAUUCUCAAACUCCUUUCCUCCAACUCCCUCCAUCUCUCUCGGGGGAAUCACCGUCCGGGAGAGAAGCAGCUGCAUCUCCGCUCGCACCGACCGUGACUCGUCCCUCCCUGCACGCCGCCCAGCAGUCGUCCUGUUGGCAGCCGCCCAGCGCUCCAGCACCCGCCUUAAUGACAUUCAUUAAUGAGCUGCAAUCUUCCUGGAUACUAAUGAAGUCAGACGGAGAGAGAGGAGCCGAGGUGUUUACGUCCAGACUUUGAUUGUCUUUGUUGGUUUUAACUCGCACAGAUUUUUCGUUCGUCUUCAACUAAAUCGACUUUUGCACCAGACCAGCUGUUUUUAUAUUUGGCCAUUCCUUCACAGCUUCACCACCACACUGCAGACUUGAGCGUGUCAUUAGUCCUCUCACAGUAGUGCAGAAUCGACAGAGCUGCCACUCUGGCGGCUAUUCUGGGAAAGUUUGAGCGGACAGGUGACAGAGUUGUUGGUCAGACCGGGCUCACGCUGUGAUUCCUGCGUUUUGACAGAAUCUCAUCCCUCUUCAUCCUGCACUGAGGUGACGAAAGUGCCUUUCUCUCCACUCAAGGACAAGAAACAGACAAACUUUCCCACCUGAGGACUUUUUAAGACUGAAAAUGAUCUUUUUCACUUUUGUGUAAAUCACUUUUUAAGGUGGAUCUUGCUGCUCUGUGUCUGGAGCAAAUUGAAAAUUGGGAAGUUAAAAAUAAACCUGGGUGGCCCAUCAGGUAUCCUCUAUUUGAGAAACAUUCGCCUCGGUGGAGGAUAGUGACCAGAGAUCAUCUGGAUCAGGGGUGAGCGAUUAAUUUUUACAUGGGGCCACAUGAGAAACCCGAAC